AUUGAACGCUGGCGGCAGGCUUAACACAUGCAAGUCGAACGGUAGCAGGAGAAAGCUUGCUUUCUUGCUGACGAGUGGCGGACGGGUGAGUAAUGCUUGGGAAUCUGGCUUAUGGAGGGGGAUAACUACUGGAAACGGUAGCUAAUACCGCGUAAUAUCGAGAGAUUAAAGGGUGGGRCUUUCGGGCCACCUGCCAUAAGAUGAGCCCAAGUGGGAUUAGGUAGUUGGUGGGGUAAAGGCCUACCAAGCCUACGAUCUCUAGCUGGUCUGAGAGGAUGGCCAGCCACACUGGAACUGAGACACGGUCCAGACUCCUACGGGAGGCAGCAGUGGGGAAUAUUGCACAAUGGGGGGAACCCUGAUGCAGCCAUGCCGCGUGAAUGAAGAAGGCCUUCGGGUUGUAAAGUUCUUUCGGUGAUGAGGAAGGUGUUUUGUUUAAUAGACAAAGCAAUUGACGUUAGUCACAGAAGAAGSACCGGCUAACUCCGKG
rnacentral:rRNA from 1 species